AUUGAACGCUGGCGGCAUGCCUUACACAUGCAAGUCGAACGGCAGCACGGGUACUUGUACCUGGUGGCGAGUGGCGAACGGGUGAGUAAUACAUCGGAACGUACCUUAUCGUGGGGGAUAACGCAGCGAAAGCUGUGCUAAUACCGCAUACGCCCUGAGGGGGAAAGCGGGGGAUCGAAAGACCUCGCGCGAUUAGAGCGGCCGAUGCUUGAUUAGCUUGUUGGUGGGGUAAAAGCCCACCAAGGCGACGAUCAAUAGCUGGUCUGAGAGGACGAUCAGCCACACUGGGACUGAGACACGGCCCAGACUCCUACGGGAGGCAGCAGUGGGGAAUUUUGGACAAUGGGGGCAACCCUGAUCCAGCAAUGCCGCGUGAGUGAAGAAGGCCUUCGGGUUGUAAAGCUCUUUUGUCAGGGAAGAAACACCGGCUCUAACACAGUCCGGGAAUGACGGUACCCGAA
rnacentral:rRNA from 1 species